GACAGAUGGCUCAGUGGUUAAGAGCACUGACUGCUCUUCCAGAGGUCCUGAGUUCAAUUCCUAGCAGCCA
rnacentral:tRNA from 1 species